GUGGGUAUAGCUCAGUGGUGGAGUGCAUGCUUAGCAUGCACAAGAUCCUGGGUUCAAUUCCCAGAACCUCCG
rnacentral:tRNA from 1 species